AUGCGCGGGAUCCCGGAUGUGGAUCAAGUUGGUAGGAAGCGUGCGGUGCCGCAGCAAUGGCGGCGCUCACAAUUGCCACGGGUACUGGCAAUUGGUUUUCGGCUUUGGCGCUCGGGGUGACUCUCCUCAAAUGCCUUCUCAUCCCCACAUAUCAGAGCAAGGCCCUAACUCUUCAAUUCUUUGAAGCCUAAGAGGGUCUCACUCUGCCUCUCAGGCUGGAGUGCAGUAGCAUGAUCUCAGCUCACUGCAACCU
rnacentral:sRNA from 1 species